UAUAAAGCCUCUGCUCUGUAUUGUUUAUGUUUGUUUUCUUUGGUGUUCAGCAGGUUCACAGACAGCUCUUGCUGUCUUUCAUUCUUUGCUGCUUCUGUAAAACUCCUAGAGAGCAUCCAAAGGAGGGUUAUGAAGAUGUGAAGGUUCUGGAGGGUUCUUUCUGACUCAGGGUAUUCUGUGAUUAUAAAAGAGAGGAGUGGCAAGCAAGGAUGGAAUCAUCACAAAGGGGAGAAUUUGCACUUAGUGGGAGACAAUCAAGGUGCUGGGUGCACUUAUCACACUUGCCUGUGUCAUACUGCUGUCUCCUCUGCCUCUGCUUUUCCACAUGAGAACUCUGCUACGUGAAGGCCAAGGUUGUCUUUUGCUGGAUUGUUUCUUACUUCUUGUGGAUCGUGAGGCUGCAUGAAUGCUUGAGCUGACACCAGCAAAAGGGCAGAUUAAAAAUGGUGGUCCUGUUCUUAAAGGGGACUGUGGCCAUGCUGAGCGCUUCCCAGGAUGAGACCUCAUGUUAAAAUUCCAUGUCUGAAAGCAGCUUUGGAAAGGCAAUGGCAAAUCAAUUUCUUCUGAGGAGGAUACACAACUGGCAACAAAUGUAGACAGGAAGCGGUAUCUGUUUAGAGCAUCAUGCAAUAGGCUUCAACCUUGGUUUCUGCUUGCUUUCUGCCUCUUGAAGAAUAAAUGAAAACGUAUCUAGAGAAAUGAGGUUCCUAGAAAGAAGUUAAAAUUCCAGAUGGAUGAUACCACCCAGGCACCAGCUGUUGAGGAGCGAAAUCUUUGUCAAGCAAUACCAAGGAGCAAUCAAAGGUCACCUGGGCACUGGAAAUGUUUCUGUGAAGGCUGAAGCUCACAACUCUACAAGAGAAUCCAUGGUGAUCUCUAGAGGUGAGAGGUUGCUUUAUCUGGGUUUCCCUUCAUUUCAAAGACUUGCAUUUCAAUUUCACUUCAUUUCAAAGACUGUUCUUUCAUAUUCACAAAAUGUGCUGAGCAUGAUGUACUAGGAUGUGAUGACCUCUAGGUUUUGCUGGUGGGGCAGAGGUGGGGUGUGCAGCAGGUAGGAGCUCUUUUUGCAUGGUGCUGAUGUCACGUGGAUGUGUUCUGGGCAGUGCAUGCCAAUGACAUGGUUGGAGGUGAGUCCAACAUGUAAGCACACACUCUAUGCAAUCACAUGUGUGAUAGGUUCUCUCAUGUCUUUACUAAAUGCUGCUCAGCAGUAGGAAACCAGGUUCUCUCUGGGUUACCAGAUUUACUAAUAUUAGAUUGGUGCAAGACUAUUUAAUGCUUGCAAGUGAUCAAAGGCACAGAGCAGACUCCAAAAGAGAUAAAGUGAAAUGAAUGAGACUGUUGUGACUGUCACCAAAAAAUGUUAUUGUUUGAAAGAAUGCACUUCCAUUCUUUCCAGUCCAUUUUAGAAUGCCCCCAAAAAUUGAGUUUCUGAAGAAUCCUACGUCACCUAGAACAUGCUCUAUUGGUCCAUAAAAUAAGCUUUCUCUGUUGUUCCUUAAAUAGAAUUAUCUUUUCAGUGCUUUCAAAACAAAACUUUAUGUCUCUAUUCUAACAUAGGGCUGUUAAGCACAUAGAAUCUUUGUUGUUUGUGUGGAUUUUUUAGGAACCUUAGAAGCAUUUGGAAUUCUAACCCUUUUACUUUC
rnacentral:lncRNA from 1 species